UACGUAGGGUCCGAGCGUUGUCCGGAAUUAUUGGGCGUAAAGGGCUCGUAGGCGGUCUGUUGCGUCGGGAGUGAAAACUUACAGCUUAACUGUGAGCGUGCUUCCGAUACGGGCAGACUUGAGGUAUUCAGGGGAGAACGGAAUUCCUGGUGUAGCGGUGAAAUGCGCAGAUAUCAGGAGGAACACCGGUGGCGAAGGCGGCCCACUGGGCCGGUACUGACGCUGAGGUGCGAAGGCGUGGGGAGCGAACGGG
rnacentral:rRNA from 1 species